AAAGAAAGCGUAAUAGCUCACUGGUCGAGUCGGCCUGCGCGGAAGAUGUAACGGGGCUAAACCAUGCACCGAAGCUGCGGCAGCGACGCUUAUGCGUUGUUGGGUAGGGGAGCGUUCUGUAAGCCUGUGAAGGUGUGCUGUGAGGCAUGCUGGAGGUAUCAGAAGUGCGAAUGCUGACAUAAGUAACGAUAAAGCGGGUGAAAAGCCCGCUCGCCGGAAGACCAAGGGUUCCUGUCCAACGUUAAUCGGGGCAGGGUGAGUCGACCCCUAAGGCGAGGCCGAAAGGCGUAGUCGAUGGGAAACAGGUUAAUAUUCCUGUACUUGGUGUUACUGCGAAGGGGGGACGGAGAAGGCUAUGUUGGCCGGGCGACGGUUGUCCCGGUUUAAGCGUGUAGGCUGGUUUUCCAGGCAAAUCCGGAAAAUCAAGGCUGAGGCGUGAUGACGAGGCACUACGGUGCUGAAGCAACAAAUGCCCUGCUUCCAGGAAAAGCCUCUAAGCAUCAGGUAACAUCAAAUCGUACCCCAAACCGACACAGGUGGUCAGGUAGAGAAUACCAAGGCGCUUGAGAGAACUCGGGUGAAGGAACUAGGCAAAAUGGUGCCGUAACUUCGGGAGAAGGCACGCUGAUAUGUAGGUGAAGUCCCUCGCGGAUGGAGCUGAAAUCAGUCGAAGAUACCAGCUGGCUGCAACUGUUUAUUAAAAACACAGCACUGUGCAAACACGAAAGUGGACGUAUACGGUGUGACGCCUGCCCGGUGCCGGAAGGUUAAUUGAUGGGGU
rnacentral:rRNA from 1 species